rnacentral:rRNA from 1 species
AUGAGCUUCACCCCACAGCCUAGCUCAUACCAAAACAAUUACACACAUGGGUGGCCUGAAAACCAGAAUAUGUCAUAUAGGAGCAACAACCCUGAGAUCUCACAGUUUGGUUCUAGUAAUCAUAUGCAGGGAUUUAGGUACAAUGAGGAGAGCCACAACUAUGCACCACAACAAUUCCAUUCAGCUCCUACUCAUAUACCAUAG